rnacentral:sRNA from 1 species
UUGCCUUGAACUGAGCCGCCAUUCUGCAGCCUGCAGCAGCCCCCUCCCUGUCGCGCGGGCCCCAGGAUCCAAUGAAUUCUCCUCAUUCCUCAGGUUAGUGGAGAUCAAGACAUGCCAGGCCACGACCGUCCAUGUAGACGAGCAUGUAGGGACUAGCGCCCUCCAGGUGGGCCGGCGUUUGCCGUCCCCCUCUUCGCCCCCGGGGCCUCCUACCUCAGCGUUCCCAGCGCUUGAAUCCACCCACUAGCUUCGCUGAAUUCUUGCAUCUCCAACAUCCAAUGACACAAUUCCGAGAAACCCCUGCAUUUCGCCCUUGGCCUUGCUUCACCACCCCCUCCCUUUAAGCUCUUGUCCUAUGUAGCCUUGGGUCACUCGAUAAACGAUGGCUCUCUUUCCCAACCCUCCAAUUUCACCCCUGGUACCCGCCCAUCCACGGAUCGGUCCGUUAGCCAACCCUCCAACCCUCCCUUAGAAGUACUGCGUGGUGAAAGCAUCUUGUUUUGUUUUCUGCAUCUCAUAUGCCUCUCUGCUUUUCAGGAAGCGCUGACGACCACAGAC